rnacentral:rRNA from 1 species
UACGUAAGGCGCAAGCGUUGUCCGGAAUUAUUGGGCGUAAAGAGCUCGUAGGCGGCUUGUCACGUCGGGUGUGAAAGCCCGGGGCUUAACCCCGGGUCUGCAUUCGAUACGGGCAGGCUAGAGUGUGGUAGGGGAGAUCGGAAUUCCUGGUGUAGCGGUGAAAUGCGCAGAUAUCAGGAGGAACACCGGUGGCGAAGGCGGAUCUCUGGGCCAUUACUGACGCUGAGGAGCGAAAGCGUGGGGAGCGAACAGG